CUUCUUCUCAAAAGCAUAUACCAUGACUGAAAAAGGUUAAAUAUGAGUAACACUUGAAAAUAUUCCGCGAAAAUAUUGAAAUGUGUAGGAUUUAAGAAGAACAAGAAGACAGAAAUGUUCGUAUUGAUCUGCGUUCCGAAGGUUAUCCAGACCAAAACAGAAACCGCAGAAUUAUGAUAUUUUUGAUGACGAAUGCUGGAUCUCGCAAAUUGCAGUACAGUAAUCACGGGUUUCCUAUCCACGACAAUUCUUACCUUCCUUGUGGCUUGGAAUUCGUCAUUGCGAAGUGGCUGAAACAGUCUGCAUGGCUGUCUCAUCCCCGGAAAUUGUAGUGUUCUGAAUGGUCCUCUCUGUGAUCAAAGCAAGGACCUCCAUUACAACAUGACGACAGUACUGAUGUUUGAGGUCCAUCUCGCAAAGUUUCCAGGUAUGGAGGACCGCAACAGCAUGACUUCUCUGAAUAUCAAUUCCAGUCCACUCUCCGCAGAAUCGGACGGAGUGUGACUGCUGACUGCAAAAUGCAAAGUCAUUCGACUGCUUGAAACCCAAAAUAAUAAUUUGAUGAGAAAUGAACUUGGACGUUGAAAUGCUAUUUGAAGUCAGAGCAUGACUGCUUCGAAGUUACUAUUAUCAGGUACAACAUACAACCACAAGAACACAUAUGGACAGGUCAGAUUUGUAGCCGUUAAAUGUGACGCCUCCUUCUGUAGGGCAAAGUGUACCUGCACUAGCCAGCCAGUGUUAGCCACUGUUAGCUUUCUGGCAAUUGGAUGUUCAAUAAGCGAAGG